UACGUAGGGUGCAAGCGUUGUCCGGAAUUAUUGGGCGUAAAGAGCUCGUAGGCGGUCUGUCGCGUCGGCUGUGAAAACUUGGGGCUCAACCCCAAGCCUGCAGUCGAUACGGGCAGACUAGAGUGUGGUAGGGGAGACUGGAAUUCCUGGUGUAGCGGUGAAAUGCGCAGAUAUCUGGAGGAACACCGGUGGCGAAGGCGGCAUCCUGGACCAACACUGACGCUGAGGAGCGAAAGCCAGGGGAGCAAACGGG
rnacentral:rRNA from 1 species